AGUAAAAGUCGUAACAAGGUUUCCGUAGGUGAACCUGCGGAAGGAUCAUUAUCGAAUUUGAAAGGGGUUGUAGCUGGCCUUUCACGAGGCAUGUGCACACCCUGCUCAUCCACUUACACCUGUGCACAUUUGUAGGUUAGAUGCGGACUGGGGACUCUGUGUUCUCGGUGCAAGUCUGCCUAUGUCUUUACAUACUCUGUUCAGUCAAUGAAUGUAAUCUGCGAUAAACGCAUUUUAAUACAACUUUCAGCAACGGAUCUCUUGGCUCUCGCAUCGAUGAAGAACGCAGCGAAAUGCGAUAAGUAAUGUGAAUUGCAGAACUCAGUGAAUCAUCGAAUCUUUGAACGCACCUUGCGCCCCUUGGUAUUCCGAGGGGCACACCCGUUUGAGUGUCGUGAAAUUCUCAACUCAAAUACUUUUGCGAGUGUUUGGGCUUGGACUUGGGGGUCUGCCGGCCUGUCCCGGCUCCCCUUGAAUGCAUUAGCUCGGACCCUUGCGGAUCAGCUAUCGGUGUGAUAAUUGUCUACGCCGUGGUUUGUGAUGCCACCUUUCAGGUGUUGAGGGAUCGGCUUCUAAUCCUCCCCCCCGGGACAAUUAACUUUGAAAUCUGACCUCAAAUCGGGUGGGACUACCCGCUGAACUUAAGCAUAUCAAUAAGCGGAGGA
rnacentral:rRNA from 1 species